rnacentral:lncRNA from 1 species
UCAAGACAGGCUUUCUCUGUGUAGCCCUGGCUGUCCUGGAACUCACUCUGUAACCCAGGCUGGCCUCAAACUCAGAGAUCCAUCUGCCUCCACCUCCCCAGUGCUGGGAUUAAAGUCAUAUGGCACUACUACCUGGAUGUGACUGAAUAUUUGUAGGAGACCUAGUUUUUUGUGGCUGCUUGUGUUCCAGGGAACUAAUUGGUAAAGGUCUUAAACCUUGGCUCCCUUUGGAAGGUAAAGGAGGUUGGCAAAGAGGAAAUACAUUCUGAUUAUUAAUUCUAAUAAUUCUGAUUAUUUAAAAGUAUAUAGUUUAGGGCUUCAGACCCAGACAUUCAGAGUACUUGUUACUCUGGCAAAGGACUUGGAUCUGAUUUCCAGCACAGCACGUGAUGGCUCACAACCAUCUGUAAAUCCCAGGGACUCACAUGGGCAUUCAUACACACACAAAUCUUAGGAAACACUUAAAAAUAAAAUACUUGCCAGGCGUGGUGGCUCAUGCCUUUAAUCCCAGCACUCGGGAGGCAGAGGCGGGCAGAUUUCUGAGUUCAAGGGCAGCCUGGUCUACAAAGUGAGUUCCAGGACAGCCAGGGCUACACAGAGAAACCCUGUCUUAAAACAAACAAACAAACAAACAAACACCUAAUAAAACCAAAAUACUUAGCUUCGUUUUAUUCUGUUUUUAAAAAGAAUACUGUGAUAGGUGCUAGAGAGGUGGCUCAGAAGUUUAAAACACUUGAUACUUUUUGUUUGUUUCUUUCUUUUUUCUGAGACAAAGUUUCUCUGUGUAACCCUGGCUGUCCUGGAACUCACUCAGGACUGUCCUCAAACUGACAAAUACCCUCCUACCUCUUCUUCCCAGUACUUCCAAGGCUGAGAUUGAAGGUGUGUGCCACCACCAUCCUGCUUGGUUUAUGAACUUUUUAAAAAUGUAUAUAGGUGUUUUGCUUUGUAUAUGUGUCUGUGUACCACAUGCAAGCCUGGAACUUGCUGAGAUCAGAGGAGGUGUUGGAUCCCCUGAAACUGGAGCCACUACAUGGGUAUUAGGAAUUGAACCCAGGUCCUCUGUAAGAACAACUGCUCUUAACCACUAAGCUAGCUCUUCAGCCCUGGAGUAUGUGAUACUCCUGAAGAGGGCCCAUGCCCAGUUUCCAGCACCCACUUGGUGGUUAGCGCAACUAUCCAUAACUCUAGUUCCAGGGUACCUGGUUUGUUCUGACUUCUCAGGGUACCAGGCUGGGUGUGUUGGCCUUUAGUCCCAGUAUUCUGGAGGCAGAGGCAGAAGGAUUUCUGUGAGUUCCAGGACUGCCUGAACUACAUAGUAAGUUCUGAGAUAGCCAGGCCUACAUAGAAAGACCCUUAGAACAAACAAACAAAAUCCUAGAUAAGUCAAAGAUGAAAAUAAAAACCCCAGUAUUAGAGAUAACUAGUUAAUACUGUGAUAUAACCAUAUGUAUCUUAUAUAUGUUAUGUAUGUAUGUGCUUGUAAUUUAACAAAAAUAAAAUUAUGAUAUUCAU